rnacentral:lncRNA from 1 species
AUUUCCCGUCAUAGGUUCUAUGCAGGCAGAUGAGUGUCACAGCUGUAACUGAGGCACAGAGCAGUACACACAGUGGAGCCGAUUUCCGCGAUGGCGAGAGGGGGCACCGGAGGUGACAACAAUAACAAGACUGUCCUUCGGACAAGUUUUAGAUUCUCAGGAUGAUGGAGUGAGUGAUGGAAUAGGUUGCCAACUGUAGUUACUCCACUCAGCACAGAAUGGCUGCGGGGAAAUAUAAUCAGACAUGCCCAAAGAAGUCUGCUUAGGGUGAAACAAAUACCUUUGAGGUUUAAAUCAGAAAGGAAGGAGAGACUGUUUCUACAGGUGUCAUACAAAAAUCAAUACUGAGCCAAGGAUUAUUGGAUCCCAUAGAACCACGGAGACUUGGUAGUGAAAUUCUUCCAAAGCAUUCCAUCCGUGCAGGCAGAUGGUGUUCCUAGGUUUGGAAAUAUAAAUCCCAUGGGAAGUCAGCUGAAGACCAUUUUAUGCAUCACUCAUCCUGUUAGAGCCCUGUGCUGUUCUGUCUCUCUAUAAGACUGGCUGAAACCACCACGGUUGUUUACAAUUUAUGCUCUAACUUUGGAUCACCUAGUUAAUACUCUAACUCCGAUUAUUACCAAAGACAAUGUUCUAUAAAAGAUAUUGUCUAUUAGAAGGAUGCUUCUGCAUUAUUAAUAAAAUCACAGGGAAAAUGCAACAUUUUGGAUGUCACAUCUGAUAAGUUGGCAGUUAAAGAACAGAAACAGCAAUAAGACUGCGUGGCUACAUUUUCCCAGUGCCACCAACUGGGAUUUAAGCUGACUAACAUUUUGAAAGCCCAGCCCAUUUCAUUCACAGCAGGAUGGCAGUGGGUGACUGAUCGUACCCGCCAGCUGGCUAAUGUCAUAAUUAACAAAGUUGCUACUACAUCUGCAAAGUUUAAUCGAAAAAUUUGCCAGUGAUAUGAUGGCCUUGUCACAGAGAUCACAAGGGACACGGAGUUGACUUUUGCUCAAGGUGGAACGACAGAGCUGUGUAGGCAAGAUGAGAAAUUGCGAACUUGUUCGGCCAAAGGAACGACUAUGCUCUGGAGAGUCCUGUAAUUUGCAGAAAAUGGACCAAGAUAACAUUUGAGUUCCAUGCUACCAAAAU